GAAAUGGAUAUAGUUUGCUCAAUAUGCGGUGGUGGAGAUUUAUAAAAAUCAUAUUAAAACAAAUCGCUAUACUUAAACAUCACUUUGAACGUGCAACUGGGAUAAAUCACACACGCUUUAUUGACAAUUAUUUUUCUAAGCGGAAAAGACUCAUUCAAGUUUCGAGAACGUACAUCUAUAAAAAAAAAUGCACAUUAACGACUGCGACAGACUUGUAAAUUUUUGUUGGCGUUUCAAAAAUAUUGAAGGAAGAUUUUUCUACAGUCUUGGUCAGUUUUGGUAAUGAUGCUACCAUCUUGGAUACAACGACUACGUCUCCUAUUCUCGCAUUAGUCGCGAUAUGUACUACAAAUAUCCUGCUGUAGUUUCAAAAACUCUAGAGUUUUUCAGUUAUUUUCACUGAAACUUAAGCCUGAUAAAGGCACCAGAUCAGUUGCAACAAUAGUAGGUAAAUAACAACAACCAGUUCGAACACUUUUAACCAAACUAGCUAAAAUUCAAUAGAUUUUUUCUUUUACUUGUAUUCAAAAUUCAAACCAAAACUUGCCAUUUAUAAUGGGACGUGGGACGUUUUUGUUAACAUUAUUAAAAAAGUCUUCGUCGGUCGACUUUUCUUCAACGCAACGUCAAAAAUGUUUAAUUCUACUAAUUUAUAUCAGAAGACGAAAUCGUUUCAGUAAGUAACUAGAAUGUCAAAGCUUUUCUUUAACAAAAGAAUUAAAU